rnacentral:lncRNA from 1 species
GUUCUGAUUCUUCACAGAAUCUCUCAUUAUCGAUGGGGAUAUAUAUUGACCUAUCAAUAUGGAUGGGGAAGGAUGGCCAUGCUUAACCAUUUGAUUCAUUUAAUUAAAUUAAACUUGAUAUAGGUCAAAUUUAGAUUAAAAAAUUUUUGAUCUAUGUUAUAUCUGAUCCGACCUAUAUUUUGUACGAUCUAACCCGAUUGGCCCCCCUAAUUCGGAGAGCUUCAUCUUGCCGAGGGAAUGCAGGAUGGGAAAAGGUAUCGGGGAAGAGGGAGCCUUGAUGACCAAGACACCAAGCAACCAGUAUCAUGCUCCAAUUGCACGGACAAGAAGGCACGUGGUGUCCUAUGGGCACAUACUCGGUCUUGGCACAAGCGGCAGCACCAUGCUAGCCUUCCAUGAUACAGACCAGCUUUUUUUAUGUCUUUUAGGAGGUUGAGAAGUGUUUCAACUUUUAUUACGUGCUUUUUCUGUACGUGGACUAUGGACUGAUAUGUUAGCGGGUCAUGUGUUGUUGCGGUCAAUUUUUUUAUCAUCUAUCAUUGGUAACGAACAUCUGUAAAAUAGCAUCCACACAAAUUGAAUUGAUAUCCGACGAAAAUCAUCCGAUACUUAAGGCAGAAAGAGAAGACAAACAGUAGUAUUUUGGAUAUUCAGAAUAGCAGAGUCCUGACGAGCAAUGACCUCCUCCGUGCUGUUCACUUAUCCUCUUUUUUAUAGAUGAAGUUAUUGUAAUCGUCGGACAUAGUCCCGUAUUUUAUGACGCUAAAUUAUCGGACCAUAAUCAUGUAGUGGGUCAUUAGUUCUCACUAAUUGCACUGUGAUAUGUGGUGGGUAACCGUUCGUAAUGGUUAUGAUGUGUUGAGCGGAUCAGCCGAUCAUACAUCGGUAGUAGGUGUGGCCGUCGGCUGAUAGUUCUAUUGCACCGACAGUCCAAAUUGUUCGAUAGUUAUCAGUAUCAGCCGAUUACUAGUUGGUAACCGACUAUAAGUCGGUGAAGCUUGUUCAAUUGGUUGAUGAAGAGUCGGUACUAUCUGUUCAGUCGAUGCUCAGUCGGAUUCGUAUGUUAGAUCGGUCGGCUAUUGUCGAGUCAGAGUCGAAAAUUGGUUGAUGAAGAGUCGGUACUAUCUGUUCAGUCGAUGCUCAGUCGGAUUCGUAUGUUAGAUCGAUCGGCUAUUGUCGAGUCAGAGUUGGGAGUUGGCUGGCUUGAAUUGGGA